rnacentral:lncRNA from 1 species
AUCCACAUCCAAAGCUGAAAAUGGAUCAUUUGUGGGAGUUGACUGCAAAAUGCGCUUCUUCAAGAGUGGAAUUGAAGCCAAUACACUCUUUGGUGGAGUUGGAGAAGCUAGAGAGUAAGCAGAACUUUCUGCCUGCCUUUUCUUUCCAGGUGUUCUGCUGCUGAUCUCUUUUAUCAAGUUAUGUAUAUCUGGUAAGCAUGCAGUGUCAUUUUCUCCAACCACUGGAGACUUCAUUUUGCAAGAAAUGAAUAAAUCCUUUCCUGCAUCAACCUGAUCAGAUUGUUUGCUAACUUUUGCAACAGGAGAAGCAUUUUUUGCUGGUGACUGAUCCACAUCCAAAGCUGAAAAUGGAUCAUUUGUGGGAGUUGACUGCACAAUGCGCUUCUUCAAGAGUGGAAUUGAAGCCAAUACACUCUGUGGUGGAGUUGGAGAAGCUAGAGAGUAAGCAGAACUUUCUGCCUGCCUUUUCUUUCCAGGUGUUCUGCUGCUGAUCUCUUUUAUCAAGUUAUGUAUAUCUGGUAAGCAUGCAGUGUCAUUUUCUCCAACCAUUGGAGACUUCAUUUUGCAAGAAAUGAAUAAAUCCUUUCCUGCAUCAACCUGAUCAGAUUGUCUGCUAACUUUUGCAACAGGAGAAGCAUUUUUUGCUGGUGACUGAUCCACAUCCAAAGCUGAAAAUGGAUCAUUUGUGGGAGUUGACUGCAAAAUGCGCUUCUUCAAGAGUGGAAUUGAAGCCAAUACACUCUUUGGUGGAGUUGGAGAAGCUCGAGAGUAAGCAGAACUUUCUGCCUGCCUUUUCUUUCCAG